UACGUAGGUGGCAAGCGUUAUCCGGAUUUAUUGGGCGUAAAGGGAACGCAGGCGGUCUUUUAAGUCUGAUGUGAAAGCCUUCGGCUUAACCGGAGUAGUGCAUUGGAAACUGGGAGACUUGAGUGCAGAUGAGGAGAGUGGAACUCCAUGUGUAGCGGUGAAAUGCGUAGAUAUAUGGAAGAACACCAGUGGCGAAAGCGGCUCUCUGGUCUGUAACUGACGCUGAGGUUCGAAAGCGUGGGUAGCAAACAGG
rnacentral:rRNA from 1 species